CUGGAGCCGGCUGCCCCGCCACUCCCCCCGCUGCAGCCAAUGGAAAGCGCGGGGCCGAGCUGCGGCUUCCUCCUGCUGCUGAGAACUGAGCCGCCCUGCCGGGCUACGGCAUCGGCCGGGGCGGGGUUAGACUGAGAGCCUGGCCUAAACUCCCCUUACCUACCACUGCAGUCACAAAUCAACUGGAGGCAGCAGCAGAGUGGAAGCCAGACUUAAAACAUCAGCUAAGACCACAAGUGAGGCUGGUAAUAAAUUAGGACUAAGGAAGAACAAAGGAGAAUUCACAGCAACUCAUCUAUAUACAGUUCUGCUGUUACACUGCAUUCUUGGAUCCCAGAGGUUUAUUCUGAAUCAUCC